rnacentral:rRNA from 1 species
AUUGAACGCUGGCGGCAUGCCUUACACAUGCAAGUCGAACGGUAACAGGUCUUCGGAUGCUGACGAGUGGCGAACGGGUGAGUAAUACAUCGGAACGUGCCCGAUCGUGGGGGAUAACGAAGCGAAAGCUUUGCUAAUACCGCAUAAGAUCUACGGAUGAAAGCAGGGGACCGCAAGGCCUUGCGCGAACGGAGCGGCCGAUGGCAGAUUAGGUAGUUGGUGGGAUAAAAGCUUACCAAGCCGACGAUCUGUAGCUGGUCUGAGAGGACGACCAGCCACACUGGGACUGAGACACGGCCCAGACUCCUACGGGAGGCAGCAGUGGGGAAUUUUGGACAAUGGGCGCAAGCCUGAUCCAGCCAUGCCGCGUGCAGGAUGAAGGCCUUCGGGUUGUAAACUGCUUUUGUACGGAACGAAAAGACUCUGGUUAAUACCUGGGGUCCAUGACGGUACCGUAAGAAUAAGCACCGGCUAACUACGUGCCAGCAGCCGCAGUAACAC